GACAAUGCGUUGAUAGGGAAUAGUAUAUAAGAUGGUCACUUCAGAGAGCUGACGGUAGGUGCGAGUCAGUGUAGCCUUUUAUAGAAUCCACCCUUGAGUGAAUGGUGAGGCGUGAGCUUAAAUCGUUCCGGUUAGAUACCCGUUAUGUAUCUAGAGUGGUCUAUAUGUUUCAUAUAGGCAACAAGGGUGGUAUCGCGGGUGCUCUCGUCCCUUCU
rnacentral:ncRNA from 1 species